AGCGAACGCUGGCGGCGUGCCUAACACAUGCAAGUCGAGCGAAGGCAUGAGUGUAGCAAUACACUUAUGUACUUAGCGGCGGACGGGUGAGUAACACGUGGAUAAUCUGCCCUGGGGACCGGGACAACUCUUGGAAACGGGAGCUAAUACCGGAUGUGACCACGAUGCUUGAGGGCAUUGGGGUAAAAGGCGGCCUGCAAGGGCUGUUGCUUCGGGAUGAGUCACGACCCAUCAGGUAGUUGGGGGGUAAGAGCCCACCAAGCCGAAGACGGGUAGCUGGUCUAAGAGGAUGAUCAGCCACACGGGAACUGAGACACGGUCCCGACUCCUAC
rnacentral:rRNA from 1 species